UGGUUUCCUCGUUACCAGUCAUGGU
rnacentral:piRNA from 1 species